CCUUCCCCUGUGCUUCCUAAAAUCUGGACCUUUUCAGCUGAGCCUAUAGAAGUGGAUAUGCGCAAGAGCUGCAGUGGCUUUGUGAGCACUGUGUGCUGCAUAGAUACGAUAGUUCUGUGCCAGAGCUGGUAGGGCUGGUCUCUGGUUUGUAUGCAGCUGCUAGGGCCAGAGUGUGUUCAGUGUAUCCUGUUUGGUCCAGGUGUUGCAGUGCUUUUUAGAGCUCAGUUGGUGUAAUGUCUUUUUACUAAUUUAGGACAGUCAACUCUUUGUACAGCAUCUCAGAGGCUUGUAUUUGUCUCUGUAUUAGCAUUAGAGUAGGUCCCUCUUCAGUAUAGCGCAAGAAAGGAAAGAGGAUAGCAACACACCUUAAUGGUCAGUGGGUAAUUAGUUUGUUCUGUGUAAAGUUAGAUAGCAAAUGGAAAUGCAUUUCACAGCCAUCUCUCUUCAACUUGUGCAUUGUAGAGUUCUUUUUUUCUUAAACGGUAAGUGCUGACUUAGACACUGAGGUUUAAAUGAUGUUUUCAGCACGUCUGCAUUGUCACACUCCUGGCUUUGGUUACCAAGUCCCUACCCUGCCAACCACUCUAUGCUCUUGGUGCAGGAAGGGCAUCUCCAGAGAGUAAUGAAGGAGGGAGUGCUAGACUCAGAGGCACCCAGUGAAACCCCGGGCAACUGGCUGGAAGCACCAUGUUUGCACUGUUGCAGUGGGAGAGCAGUUGGCUCAGUUUGGAGGGACUGAGCUCAAAUCAAAGGCACUUCUCGAAGGCAGGUGUGGCCAGCCCACUGCCCUUGAGCACCUGGGACUUGAAAGCCGUUCUCAUGCAGCUGCGAAGUCAUGGUCAUGUCCCAGGAGUUGUGGUAGUCUGAGUUAGCUGAGGUCACUUGAGACUGCCUGUGCUUUCU